rnacentral:snRNA from 1 species
GGAUGUGAGGGUGAUCUGGCUGUGACAUCUGUCACCCCAUUGAUCGCCAGUGUUGAUUUGGCUGAUCUGCCUGGCUAGGCGGAUGUCUCCUUCCUCCCUCACUGCUCCAUGUGCAUCACUCCUGCAUCUGUGUGCUCAGUCGAAGAGGACGACCAUCCCCGAUAGAGGAGGACCGUUUUUGGUCAAGGGUAUAGGAGUAGCUGCACUCCCCUGCUAUAACUUCAAACAAGCUCUCAAGAAAUGUAGGAAGAUGGUGUGAGAAGUGCUGGUUAGGA